CUCGGGUUCAGUGUUUCGUCCAUAUUUAUGUACUUCUCGGCUCGGGUAAGAAGCUCGGUGACUGUCUUUGGUGGAGUUUUGGAUAAAGACAUCUUGAAAGCCUCGCACUUUAUAGCAUAUGUGAGGGCAGAAACUGCUGCAGUUAUGUGUAGGUCGGGAAUCUGAAGUCUUUCCUUGUUGAACCUGGUCAUGAAGUCCCGUAGGGUCUCAUUUUGCCCUUGUCUAAGUUGCAUGAGGGAAGCCGCUGUCUUCCUGAUGCGUUUGCUGCUUGCGAAGAAAGCGGAGAACUUGUCCGCCAAAUCUGAGAAUGAGGCUAUGGAGUUUGGCUCUAAGGUUGAGAACCAAUCCCUAGCAGCAUUCGUCAAAGUUUGCGGGAAGGCCUUGCACAUCACCUGGUCUGGUGCAACCUGUAGAUUCAUGACGUCCGUGUAUAUGUUCAGAUGAUUGAUUGGAUCGGUGGUCCCAUCAUAUUCUUUGAUCCUAGGAUACUUAAAUCUGUCUGGCAAGGGGCAUGUUAAUAUCUCGGGAGUAAAUGGAGUGUUGGGACUGAAUCUUGUCGUCCCUUUGUUGCCCUGAAGUAGGCCCGCCGUAAUUCCUUCUUGAAUAAUCCUAGCGAGUUCCCCGGGCUCCAUGGUCACUGAUCUCGAGGCCGAGGUCACAUGUGGUAUACCCGAGGCCCCUGCUCCGCCAUUGUCAGGGACAUGAGCUCGAGCUCGAGCAUCAGCCAUAAACCCCCCUGGGGUACUGGUGUGGGUGACGGAUGCGAAUUUCUUUGACUUAGCAGCUGAGUCAGUGUGGCGACCUGUUGUCUGAGCUCUUCAAAGGCUCCAGCAGUGACGACUGCCGGCUGGGGCUCUGGCACUUCUGCUGAUUCCUCUUGAGGAACAGGGAUAUCCUCAGGAGGGGGUUGGUUUGGAGCGGAUGAGCUUGCUGGUGGAAGACCUGAAUGUGUGUUUACCAUGGCUUUUGGUAGCGUUUCCCACAGACGGCGCCAAUGAUGCUACCAAAAAUCGUACCUGAUGAUUUUCCGAGCUUGAUGAUUCUGG
rnacentral:lncRNA from 1 species